GCCCGGGUGGCGAAAUUGGUAGACGCACCAGCUUCAGGUGCUGGCGUUGCGAGACGUAUCGGUUCGAGUCCGAUCCCGGGCA
rnacentral:tRNA from 1 species